UAUAAUGACUAAUUUAUUUAAGUCCUGAUUUGAGUUUUCAUUGUAUUUUGUAGUUGAAUUGUGUGCUAAUGAACCCACUGUUUUUCACCAAAGUUUACCAAAUAGAGUUGUUAGUGAAGUAUCAAGUUCAUCAAACAUUUUUGAAUCUAGGCCAUUAGAUGAAGAAAUUGAUGAUGAGCCUGGUGAUAAUAUUACCCAAUUAGUAGAAAAACAACAAUUUAUAUUAGAUCCGUGUUUUGAAAAGUUACCAGUUACAAAGGGUAGAAAGAUGGUUAGGUGUAUUAUUUGUUACAGACAAUCAAAUACUGCUUUAUUGUUAUGUAAGAAAAAAAAUCAUUUGCCUCCUGUCUGUUCUGAAAGUGGUUGUGCGCCUCGAGCAUAAAGACUAAAAAAACAUAUUGAAUCACAUAUGCAUAAAGAAUGUGUAAAAGUUGACCAAUUGUCAAAAUUAUCUGUUUCUGAGGUACACAAUACUGCUCCACUCAAUAAACUAAUUUUAAAACAAAACAAAGUUCUUGCGUUAAAAAUUAGUAAACUAUUAGUAACAGUUUUUAAUGAUUCUAAACGUGGAACUUUAAGCGCAUGGUCAUGGCCUUCCAGGGAAGUGGUGAGUCUUAUUUGCAACCAGUUGGACCCAGAAAAGCAAUUUCAACCGUACAAACCAAAAGAAGGUGACCUACAAUAUAUAAAUUCUGGAACACAUUCAGUCCUUCUAAGGCAUAUCGUACAAGCAGAUAUUCCAAAUCUCAAGUCCAAACUUAAAUCGUGUAUUGCAAUUUCUCUUCGAGUGGAUGGUUCUGUAGACAGAAACCAAAUAGACAAUAUUCAUGUUUUGUUCAAAAUUGUGCUGGAGAAUGGUGAUUCUGAAACAAUGUUUAUGGGCUUUGAAGAACCUACUCAGAAAGGUGCUAUUGGGUAUUAUGAAGCCAUAAAAAAUUCUGUUGAACGAUUUGUUGAUUGGAAUGAAGUUUUACCAUUAGUUUCAUCUAUUGUAACCGAUGGAGCUAACGUUAAUAUAGGUAAGAAAAAUGGCUUAUGGUCUAUUUUUGAACAAGAAAGAAACAAAAUGUUUAAUAAUACUGGUCCAUUUAUCAAAAUUUGGUGUGCAGUUCAUAGGAGUGCAUUAGCUUGGGAAAAACUAACUUCUGAAGUAGGUGAAUUAAAUAAACUUAUUCAAAUAUGCUCUUCGAUUUCAUCCUACUUUCACCAAUCGGGACUAAGAACUAAUGAAUUGAAACAAGUUGCUCUAGAUGAACAAAAAACUAUGUACACACUUCCUAAGUAUUUUGAUGUCAGGUGGACAGAGUUUACUUAUAAUUUAUUACUGAACAUAUUAAGGAAUUGGAGAAUCCUUGUUAAAUACUUUAUUUAAAAAAAAACAUGAUAAAGAUAAUAAAACAAAGGCUGAAGGCUUUUUAAAAAAUUUAACUGAUGUUAACAAAUUAAAACUGUUGUGUUUUUUUGUCAACUUAGGUUAUUUGUAUUCACGUUUUCAGAAACAAAUCCAAUCAGAUGAUGUUCUUAUAUAUGAUAUAGCUGAGAAAAGAAAUAUAUUAAUACAUUCUAUUGAAAAUCUAAGAGAACAUCAUUUACUCGGUGGAUGGGAAAGUAUAUUAGAAAAUGAAAUUAAAACAAUUGAUGUUGAAUCAGAAAAUAAUCACUCAAAUAUUAUGUUAAAAGACAUACAGUUAUAUGAAAAAAAAAAUAAUUCCCGAAGAAAGUCCCAUCAUUUAUUCGUCUCUGAUACCCGUUCAUUUUCUGCUGUACGAAAUAAUACAUUGGAACACAUUAAAACAUUUUUAGCUGAUCGACUAGAUGCUGAAGAAUGGAGGGCAUUUAAACCGUUGGAACGCUUAAGCAUUACAGUGACAGAUUUGGAACUUAAUGAAUGCCAUAAAAUGAUUUGUCCAGAUAUUAAUUUAGUUGACUUUGUCACUAGCUACAGAGAAGCGUCUUACACAUCAGAAGUUGCUGAAAAGAAAAUGUCUAUACAAUUGUUAAAGUUAUUAUUGUUAAAUGAAGCUUGGAAACCAUUAAGUAUAUCAGUGGGAAGACUGUUGGCUGCUAAACCCCACUCAGCCGAUGUGGAAAGGUUAAUUUCUUAUUAUAAUGUUUUAAAAACAUCAGGUCGAUCUUCCUUGUCACCGAAUACUAUUAAAGAUUGUUUGUAUGUCAAAUUAAAUAUGCCAUCCGUAUCAGAAUACAAUCCAAAGGAAGCUGUAUUGUUAUGGUUGAACGAAAAACAACGGCAUAGUAAGGUGCAAGAAAAAGCGACCAACCAAGAGUGGUAUCAAGGUGUUUUUCCUGAAGCUAAAGCUGAUCGACUGAAGCAACUAAGUGAUGAUUAUAAUAAGUGUUAUUCAUUUUAAGUUGUUACAUAUUACUGUAAUAAAAUAUUUUUAAAUUAUACUUGUAUUUAUUUUAUGUAUUUUUAGUACCAAUAUCAUAUAAAUAUUAUUAAUGUGUAAGGUAAUAAGUGGUACAUAAAAGAAGGGGGAUUUUGGAAGUUACAACUUACACAGGUUUUUUUUUGCUACAAAAAUGUGUGAAAGUUCAAAGUCAACAGUUAAAUUAAUAAGUGUGUCCCCUGAAAUUAGAUGUAUUUUAG